CUUUCCCAGCAGCGGGCAUCCAGGUCAUCCUCAACUUCCAGUGAGCUAGGAAGAAAGUGCCUUCAAACACCUGUGCACCUGGGAAUCCAGGCAUCUGCUUCACUUCAGAAGAAGCAUUCAUGAUUCAUUUCAAGAAGACUUGAGCAGGAAGAACUGAGCUUCAGGUAUACCGCAGGUACCUUGCAUUGCAGAUGGGUUAGAAGAGAGAAGAGCUGCUUCAUGGGAUUUUAUCACAUUUUUCCUGAAAGUCCCACACACAGGGUGAAAAUGAUCUGGUUCCGAACACGGAUGAGCCCUGUGGGAUAGAGACCCUUGAAGGUAACAGAGAGGCAGAGCUCAUGAACCAGCUGGUGCCUGUCUUUUUUGGUAGGAACCCAGACUGGGGCAGCACCUUCAGGUCUAUUUACUCAGGUUUCAUCACCAGCCAGCAGGUGCUGGAGCUGCUCUUCCCAAGUGCCGUGCCCAUCAACCCGGGUACCUGGAUGGAGCAGUACAGCGAGGCUUUCCAUCAGCCUCCAGGCCUCAUGAUUCUCCAGCUGCUGCUGCCUUACCUUCAACUGUACAUGGGUGGCUUGAAUCUGGAGCGCCAAGCACACCACCUGCUGGCACAGCUGGAGGAUGGCAA